ACUUUUAAACAACUAAUAAGGGUACAUUUUAGUAUUGAUAAGGAAUUGAAGGGCACAACUUAAAAACUUGAAAAAGUAUGGAUACACCUUAAAAACUCGAAUACCUUAAGGGUAUAGUUUAGAAAAACCCAAAAAAUUUUAAUGACUUCCCUCUUUCCUUCUUAAUAUUACUCUUUCACAAUUCCCUGAUCUUAAUUUUCCCUCUCUUAAAAACUCAGUUUCUCAGUCACCGCCUCACCAACCACCCCACGCCGACACCGACGCCCACCCCACGCCGACACAGACGCCCACCCAAUGGACAACGAAGUUCUCUCACAGGCCACCCACUAGCCAACGAAGGCGGUUACCCCACGAGUACACGGGUUGAGUGACGAAAGGGGCUUUUUGUUGGGAAACCCUAGAUAAAUAUUCAAUAGAAACUAUGCUGAUAGGUGAGAUUUUGAAGAAGAUGAUUGAUAAAUCAAGGCAACACCUACAUCAACAAAGAGCAGCAUCAAUCAUGAAUUGAUUAAGGACAUAGGAAAAUUUGGUGGUUAAUUUUUGCGAGAAGAGAGAGCCGAAAGAUGAUAAAGUGGCAGUAGCACAACAAAGACACCAGCAACAUCGCAUCUAGAAGAAAACCAAAGGAGAUAAUUUUGGUGAAGAGAGAGAAUAAGGGCAUAGGCUGGCUUUAAACUUUGCAGACGCAUGAAUGGCUUCAUCUGCUAUUCUGCUGGCCUUUACAUCACUUUUACUAAGAUUACCAGCUUUCCCAUCAUUCCAUCUUUAACCAAUGAGGUACAAGAACAUGAGGAGGCAUUGAAAUGAAGUGGGGCUUGGAAGGAUAGACAAUGGAAGGUAGUGUCGACCACUGCUUUAACUUAAAUCCAAGCUCAUCUUAUAAUAGUCAGGUAACUUGAUGCUCAAAUUAAUUUAAGCAAUCUGCUCUGCCUGAAGGUAGAUUAAAUUUGACAUGUUGGAUGUUGCUGCUACUGCUCUGCUGGCAUGCUAUUGCGACCAUUGCUACUGCUGCUUUGUAUGCCAUGAUGUAGUGCUGCUUCCGCUGUUUUACACUGCUGCUAUGUUGCUAUGUUGCGAUGCUUACUGGAAUGUUGCUACUGCUACUGCUCUGCUGGAGUUGCCACUCUUGUUGUUUUGAAUUUUAUUUUAUAUUUUAGUUUUUUUUUUUUGGAAGUGUAAAUUUAGAAUUAUUAAUGAAAAAUAUGAGUUUAUAAAUAUACUACGUGUAAUUUUACAAGUUAUUAAUGAAAAAUAUGAGUUUUAUAUA